GUAAGAACGCUUAAGAAUGGUGAGAGAACGCUGUAAGAACGCUUGAGAACGCUGUAAGAACGCUUAAGAAUGGUGAGAGAACGCUGUAAGAACGCUUGAGAACACUGUAAGAACGCUUAAGAAUGGUGAGAGAACGGUGUAAGAACGCUUGAGAAUGCUGUAAGAACGCUUAAGAAUGGUGAGAGAACGCUGUAAGAACGCUUGAGAACGCUGUAAGAACGCUUAAGAAUGGUGAGAGAACGCUGUAAGAACGCUUGAGAACGCUGUAAGAACGCUUAAGAAUGGUGAGAGAACGGUGUAAGAACGCUUGAGAAUGCUGUA
rnacentral:lncRNA from 1 species